rnacentral:rRNA from 1 species
UACGAAGGGGGCGAGCGUUGUUCGGAAUUACUGGGCGUAAAGGGCGCGUAGGCGGCGACCCAAGUCAGAUGUGAAAGUCCUGGGCUUAACCUGGGAACUGCAUCCGAUACUGGAUGGCUUGAAUCCGGGAGAGGAAUGUGGAAUUCCAGGUGUAGCGGUGAAAAUGCGUAGAUAUCUGGAGGAACACCGGUGGCGAAGGCGGCAUUCUGGACCGAAACUGACGCUGAGGCGCGAAAGCCAGGGGAGCGAAACGGG